rnacentral:lncRNA from 1 species
GUGUAAUAAAAAGUUAACCAAUCUACUUUUUUUAGUUGAGUGACACUGAAAUUAUAAUACAGUUAUACCUAGAGAUAAAAUAGUAUACUGUAAUACCUGGACGGGUAUACUAGACCAUUAAACCAAGUAGCGGAACAAGGACCCACGUGAUCAAUAGCUGAAAAAGACCAAAUUUGUAUUUGAUACCGUUCCUGACCGAGCUUUUUUGUUGGACCGAACUAAUUCGGUCUAACAAAAAAGCUCGGUCGAAGAUCCAGAAGAUAUAUUGGCAGAUUAUGGUAGCGAGUGGAUCACUUCAAGGAAACACAGAGGUCAAAAUUCACUUAUCUAAGGAGAUGCAAAGGAAUUCCGGCCUUAGAAUAUAAAUGAUAUUUUGAACUGUGUAUUACUCACCUUGCAAUAGCGAUGCUAAAACAGUGCCUUCAGACUACCUGAUUUCAUCUACCAAAAGUUAUGCCUUCAGUUAUAUUGAUGUGUAACUUUAUCUCAGGGACCUCAUGAUGAUAAGAAUCAUUCUCCUCCUAAACAUGGAACCAAGAAUGUUCGACUAAUUCAGCGACAGUCGGGAAUAUAGCCUUACAAUCCUUGCAGUUGAAAUUAUAAGAAGAGUUUCAUUUUAACGAAGCUUUUUCGUUCCCUUCAAAAUGCGUCUUCGCAUCAUCAAAAAGAUCGUCUGCUCCCUUAAAACAUACGAAGACUCCAAAAGAUUAUUCUUGUCAACUUACAUAAUUUUAAAGUAA